rnacentral:rRNA from 1 species
AAACUAACAAGGAUUUCUCUGGUAGUGGCGAACGACCCAGGGAAUUAGCCCAGCACCGGAAUCCUGUAUCUUUGGGUAUUGGGAAUUGUGGGGUAAAGGUUGUGUCUUUAGAUGUUGAGUCUGCUCCAAAUUCACUUGAUUGUGAUGUUGUCCAGAGAGGGUGUUAGACCCGUUGGAGUAGAUUUCGGCUUCUAUUGAUGCUUCCUAUGAGUCGGAUUGUUUGAGAAUGCAGUCCAAAUGCGGUGGUAAACUCCAUCUAAGGCUAAAUACUUGUAUGAGUCCGAUAGCAAACAAGUACCGUGAGGGAAAGUUGAAAAGAACUUUGAAGAGAGAGUUAAAUAGUACGUGAAAUCGCUUAGAGGUAAACGAGUAGAGCCGAAACUGUCGGAUGGGAUUCAGUUGGGUGUACGAUGAUGAUUGGUCUGAUAACAACCACAAAAGGCAUUAUCGGAUCGAUAUGUUUGUUGUAUGCACAAUGCACUUUCUGUUCGAUGAAACUGUGACCAAUAGUGUCGUUUUUCUGUCGUAGCGGUGAAGGUGACCAGUUGCUUGCAAUUGGUUUUAUAGCUCGUUACAUGGUCAAAUGUGAUGUAUUGGUGAAUUGCAAUCAGUCAAUGUUGGUUCGGUGCUGUGUGUGUUGUUUGGUGGUAGACUACAUGUAGACUGUCAGCAAUGGCAUAUGUGAUGCUGUUAUCGAUAUAUUGUUUAAAUCCNNNNNNNNNNNNNNNNNNNNNNNNNNNNNNNNNNNNNNAACAUGGACCAAGGAGUUUUAUAUGAUCGCGAGUCAAAGGGCUAUACGAAACCCCACGGCGCAAUUAAUGUAAAGGUUUACUUUCGUGAACUGAGAUGUGACCUGUCUUGAUUAAAACCGGGACAGUGCAACAUCGACCCGUCUAAAGAUGUUCGCAUCUGGGCGGAGUUUGAGCGAUCAUAUAGAGACCCGAAAGAUGGUGAACUAUGCUUGUGCAGGUUGAAGUCAGAGGAAACUCUGAUGGAGGACCGCCGCGGUUCUGACGUGCAAAUCGAUCGUCGGACAUGAGUAUAGGGGCGAAAGACUAAUCGAACCAUCUAGUAGCUGGUUCCCUCCGAAGUUUCCCUCAGGAUAGCUGGCGUUUGUUGUCGUAGUUUUACCUGGUAAAGCGAAUGAUUAGAAGUAUUGGGGGCGAAAUGCCCUCAACUUAUUCUCAAACUUUAAAUGGGUUCGAUGUGUAGCUCGCUUAAUUGGAGUUGCACGUUGAAUACGAAUGCCUAGUGGGCCAUUUUUGGUAAGCAGAACUGGCGAUGUGGGAUGAACCAAACAUUUGGUUAAGGUGCCUAACAUCACGCUCAUGAGAUCCCACAAAAGGUGUUGGUUGAUACAGACAGCAGGACGGUGGACAUGGAAGUCGUCAUCCGCUAAGGAGUGUGUAACAACUCACCUGCCGAAUCAACCAGCCCUGAAAAUGGAUGGCGCUGUAGCGUGAGACCUAUACCGAAUCGGUAUCGUAAGUUGUGAUAAACGAGUAAACGAUAUCGUGUAGGAGGGUGCCGUGGUUGCUAAGAAGCUACUGGCGUGAGUCAGAGUGGAGCGGUCACGGGUACAGAUCUUGGUANNNNNNNCAAUUAUUCAAGUGAGAUCCUUGAAG